UAAUUUACUUUUAUAUAAUUAUUUAUCAUUAUUUGAUUCUGCACUUUAAACGAUGCCUCGAUUCAAAUUUAGAUAUUUUCUAGUCCAGCUUUUUGACUAUACUUUGUGUAAUAUACCUCAAAUUUUUGGAUCUCUCGCAAAUUGUUCUU